AGAAGCCUCAGCGCGGGAGGGGUCCCCAAGCUUCCUUCGCCCGCAGCCGCCGCCGCCGGAGGAGCAAACUUUGCAGCUGGCAACUUUCGGAUCGGAGUCAGCAUUUAUCUCCCCCGACGAGGGCGGGGAGAGCCGGCGGGGAGUAGUUGGAGAGGUGGUCCACUCCCAGAUGCCACAAAUUCCACUUGUCAAAAAGAACCAGAAAACUAAUGCUCCAAAGCUCCAUCCUGGGGUGAAAAUUGAUUGUUUUCAGAUCCUUUUUCUAAACUCCCAAUUCCAAAUUUACUUUGUCAUCAGAAUCACAUGGGGAGAUUGUUCAAAAAGCUCAGAUUCCUGAGUUCCACCUCCUGCUUCUGAAUCAGAACUUUGGGAAUUCAUAUUUUAGGCCGGUGUCCACGGGAAUAUUUAGUAAACCCAGCCCCCUGGCAGCCCUUCUCAAACAGCAGUGAGCCUUUGAAUCCCUGAGAGGGUCGUUAAAAUGUAGUGAGUGCAACUUCAUAGGGAGAGUCUGCAUUUCUAAAGCUCUCCCAGGUGAAGUCUUGUCCUGCGGCUAAAGGCUAUAGGAGCUGAGCCCUGAAAUAAGAGGAGGAACAGACCCCGGGGAGUCAAGCGUUGGAAACUUAAGAAGACUCAAGAUGGGAUACUCUGAACCUGCUUCCCCAUCCUGCAAAUGCAUUUUAUUGGUAUUACUGCAUUACCGGUAAUGUUCGUUGAGAGACUGAAGGGCGCAUGUGUCGUCUGUCCUGUUAGAUGGAGAAUAGAUGCAAAUCCACUCCAAAGUCAAAAAGAAAGGAAGAAAGGAAGGAAGGAAGGAAGGAAGAAAGGAAGAAAAAGCUAGACAGCCUUCACUUGGAAAUGGAGAUGAAAUGAAGCCUCGGUGGGAGAAUGGGUUAACUGCAGCUCAUUUAGAGGCUGCUUGGGGCUGCAUUAGGACUGAAGGGGAAGCUCCCCCACCCCCAGCCCCACAGGGAUGUGUUUGGAAUCUACAAGGUUGGUCUUUUAGAGGAUGGAGGAGGGGGAGUUCAGAGGGAGUUGGAUCCUGUUGGAGGCCAUCCUGGGGAUGGGGAGAGGGGCUAGGGUGGGGAAUCUAUAGACAGGGCCAUGUGCUGUUGGUCUGAGUAACUGGGAGUGUCUGGGCCUAGUGGGGAACUUUCCUCAACAACUCCAGCAGCAGAGAGAGAGGGGAGGCUGGCCCCGAGGCAAGGGGUUGGAGCCACGUGCACCUGGAUGACUCAGGGUUAGACUAAAGAAGCUGCAAUGAGACAAGUCUGAGACCAGCCCAGAUAAGGGAAGAAGGAAACAAGUAGUGUAUGUGCCAGAAGAUUCCUACAUUCUUGUGAAACAGCUUGAGCGCCGAACGCAGUGACUGGUUAAGGUAACAGUGACCUUUACCCAGGACCUCCAGCACUGUCUCAUUUAAUCCUCAAGACACCCUCUGGGUUAAGAAUAUUGAUAAUACCCAUUUUACAUCUAAAGAAAUCAGUUUUUCGAAGCAGUGUGGUUUCCAAAGCAAGUGUGCCUCAGAUUUGCCCAGUUAAGAUGAAGACGCUGAGAGGUGGGCCCUGCCCCAGAGUUGCUGACUCAUAGUUUGGGGAGGGGGGUUGUUGAGAAUUUGCAUUUAUAACAAAUUCUCAGGUGCUGCUGCUGCUGCUGCUGCUGCUGCUGCUGCUGCUGCGGAUCCUGGGGCUCCACUUUGAGAUCCACUGGUUUAGAGACCACAUGGAUCAUCCGGGUCGUCCAGAACGAGUGGUAGAGCCACCAUCCCUCUAUUACAGGAUGUGAGCCUGUUGGAUAGUGCUGUGUCUUGCUUAAGGAUCUGGAAGGAGAGGUAUGCAAGUUGCUUUUAAGGAGUAGGAGCCUCUCCCCAACCCGAGCUGGGGGGAGCUGGGGGAGCGGGGGAACUGAGCUACCGCAAGAGAAGGGGCAGAGCCAGAGCACUCAGCCUAGGACUCUCCACCCUGAGGGAUGCUGCAGCUGGGAUCCCGCAUGUGCCGUGCAUUCUCCAAGGCCUCUGUAGAGUCCGAGAGCGGUGGGCAAAGCUUCCCCAGCUGCCCGGGAAGACUUCUCAGCAUCUUCUCUUGCUUCCAAACACACACUGCUCCGGAGCCGAGAUACCACCAGACGGAAUCUCCGAUAGUAAAGGCAUCUCGGUGACUCAGGGAUAAAUCCUGCAGUGAGAUUUCUUUUCCCCCCCAGGAUCUAAUCCAAGACCUGACGUCGCACUUGGUUGUCUGUCCCCCAAAGAUCUUGGAAUUCUGCUUCCCCUCCUCUUCACCCUUUUUGAGCUUGAUGCCUUUUGAAGACAACAGAUAAGUUACUUUAUAGAAUGUACUUCAUUAUGGGUCUGUCUGCCCUUUCCUCACGAUUAUAUCCAGAUGUGCAUUUUGGCUGGAUGACCACAGAAGGACGUGUUUUCUCAGUGCGUCACCUGAGGAGGCUCCGGAUGUCAGUUCCCAAGGUCAGCACGUGAGUGCUAACCGAUCCCUUGGUCAAGCCCUUAGGAUCCUGAAUUCAGAACGUCAUUGUGGGCCAAGCCCCGCACUUAACAGCAGGAACUGUUUCCGUAUGCUAACUGUACGUCCAGCAAGGACGGCUGUGACAUCUCCUGGGUUUGCCUGGAGCUGGUCCUCCUCUAACAGACACGCCACACCAUCAACCCCCCGGUCAACGCUCCACUCUUACCCCUCAUCUUGGUAGAGGAAGGCUGAAUGUUUGUCACCAAGGUGGGGCCCUGUGGCUGUCCUGGGCUGAGGAACGAGGUUCGAUGUUCAGUCCUUCCCUGGUCUAUUAAAAGCACGGAGCACUGGCUUGGAGCAAUAAGGAAAAUAUUCAACUCCGUGAAUCAACAGGCUUCUGUGCACUGUGUCGUCCUGGGGGAGCCUUGGGCCCCUUUGCUGGACACAGAGUGGGAUCCACAGACUCCAGGAGGGUGGAGAGCUCUGACCUGGCCCAGGGUGUGAGCGUCCCCAUCUCCGGAGGAGCUGAAACGCCCCAUUUUAUAUGCUCAGAAUCUGAUGUUGGCUCCACACUGCACCAAAGAAAUGCAAAAAGAGAGCUCACUCAGGCCAUUGGUAAUUUUAUUUUUCACAACAACAAAUUGCUUAUUUAAUGUACUUCCUCCUUCUCCCUGCCCAAAAGGAAAAACUGGCUGAAUCCACCAGUGGGUUUGGAUUCAGGUAUGUUCGAUGUUUGGGAGAAAAGGCUCACUGAUUCCUUUAAUGGGUUGGGAACAUAGAGUCAGUUUUUUGUUUUGUUUUGUUUGUUUGGAGUUGUUGUUUUUCACUCAACACUGAGUUUUUAAUGGACGGACAAGCAUGGGGGAGAGACGGAUUUUUUUUUUUAACAACCCAGACGGAUACACACAGAAAGCUCCUUUCAUUGGCAUGUUCAGGGGGCCCCUCAGAGGCUCAGCGCUGCUUGGCAAACAGUCUGAAUGAAUGCGUCUCAGUGUGGGAGGCUGGGAAGUCGAGUCGGGAUGGGGCUGAGGCUGGUGUUUAUCUUACUUGAAGGAUGGUGGCCUUGAAGACAUCAAUCCCAUUCUUUCUCUCCCUCAGUUUCCCUGGGCGGAAACUGGGCUGGUGGAAAUGCUGGUGGCAAGACCUCCGUGAGCCAGUGAGAACACAGACCCCUCGGGCGUGACUGUGGGCGGAAGGCCCGAGAAACUUCACCCUUGAUUCCACCGGCUCCUGCCCACACGCCGGGUGAUGCCGGUACCCCCGCCGCAGACGCCGUGCCAUCCCAGCCUGGAAGUCCCUGCCCAGAGCAGAUGGUGUCCUUCCCUAGAGAUGAGGCCAAGAGGCCCAGAGGACGAGACCCCACCCCGCCUCCCUCCUCUCGGCACAGAUCCCUUUGGAAUAGUCUAGCUUGUGCUGAUAGUUUGGGAUCUCUUCUGUUGAGGUCCCAAAUCUGUAUUCAUCACUGUUCAGGAAUCUAAUUCAAAAAUUCAAACUUUAGUGUCUGCCAAGAGGUGGGUUUGGCCGUGAUGGGAAAACAGGAAAAGGCUUAAAAGUUAAUAAAGCUGGAAGCAAACAGCUUUUAUGUCAGCACUCCAGUGUCUGCUGUCCCCAGCUGCCUUCAGGCAGGGCUAGGACUCUCCUUACAUUGGAGCCGCAUGUUUAAGGGGUUCUGGAGAGAAGUGAGGCACAGGGGAGUAUCUGGGAGAUGCUACUGGGGGCAUUGAACU